UGGGGAUAAUUCCGGAUAACGCAUAUAUGCUGGAAUGCUUUAUGCGUAAAAUGGAUUCGUCUGCCCAAGGAUGGGUCUGCGGCCUAUCAGGUAGUAGUGGGUGUAAUGUACCUACUAGCCGACGACGGGUACGGGUUGUGAGAGCAAGAGCCCGGAGAUGGAUUCUGAGACAUGAAUCCAGGCCCUACGGGGCGCAGCAGGCGCGAAAACUUUACAAUGCGGGAAACCGUGAUAAGGGGACACCGAGUGCCAGCAUCAUAUGCUGGCUGUCCAGGUGUGUAAAAUACACCUGUUAGCAAGGGCCGGGCAAGACCGGUGCCAGCCGCCGCGGUAACACCGGCGGCCCGAGUGGUGAUCGUGAUUAUUGGGUCUAAAGGGUCCGUAGCCGGUUUGGUCAGUCCUCCGGGAAAUCUGACGGCUCAACCGUUAGGCUUUCGGGGGAUACUGCCAGGCUUGGAACCGGGAGAGGUAAGAGGUACUACAGGGGUAGGAGUGAAAUCUUGUAAUCCCUGUGGGACCACCUGUGGCGAAGGCGUCUUACCAGAACGGGUUCGACGGUGAGGGACGAAAGCUGGGGGCACGAACCGGAUUAGAUACCCGGGUAGUCCCAGCCGUAAACGAUGCUCGCUAGGUGUCAGGCAUGGCGCGACCGUGUCUGGUGCCGCAGGGAAGCCGUGAAGCGAGCCACCUGGGAAGUACGGCCGCAAGGCUGAACUUAAAGGAAU
rnacentral:rRNA from 1 species